rnacentral:lncRNA from 1 species
UAGGCGGACCUGUAAUUGAGAGCCCACUAGAUCCAUUUUUGAUUCACCCUUUAAUUCCUCUCGCUCUCGCUCUCGGUCUUGGUUUGGUCUUGUUUCUUCUCUUUGUUGUGACGAAAAAGGGAAGGGGGAAGUAGACCCUACCGACCGCAUGCCGAAAAUGCAUUUCUCCUUUGAAUUAAUCAUUGAAUGGAAUUUCGCACCGGAAACUUUUCUAGG